rnacentral:sRNA from 1 species
UAUAAUAUUUUGGAUUUCCGGGAUAUUAUAUAUUUUGGCAAAUAUAAAUUUUGUUUGCAUAUUUUAUAUUUAGGUUUCCGGGUUUAUAUUUUUUUGCCUGGUUUUAUUAAAUUAACUCCGGUAUUUACGGCGUAUUUUAUUUAUUUCCGUAUUUUCCAAACAAUUAAUUAAAAAUCGAAAAAUGCGGAGGAAAAAUUGGAUAUCCGCCGUUUAUUUUUAUUAUAUUAUAAUAUUUGCUAAUUUUAUAAAAUUUGCAUUUUUUAAUUUGUUAAUUAUGGAAAAUACGUCGAUAUAAUAUUUAGUUACGUCGGGAAUAAAUAAAACGAGGGUUAUAUUAUCGUAUUAUUUUCCGAAUUUUUGGUAUAUUAUUAAUUUUUCGUCGAAUUCGUUAUUAAUAUCCAAAUUUAGGCGUUUUUUCCACAUUGUUUUUUUUAUUGCAGGGUUUUUGGAAAAAGGGUUUUUGGUGGUUUUAAUAUAAAUGGGGUUGGGUAUAUUUUUAAUUAAAAAAUUAAUUAAAACCCAAAUGUAACGUUUUUUAAUUGCGGUUUUAAUAAAUAAAUAUUAUUUAGGCCAUUUUUUCGCCGUACGAAACGUAAUAAUGGCGGAUUUAAUUUUUUUUCGGAAAAAUAGGAUAUUAUAAAUAAAUUUGUGGUUUGCGGAAAUAUAAUAGGGAAAAACGUUCGAUAAUAAAUAUUAAAAAAAUAUAAUGCGUAAAUAAAUUAUAUAAUUU